rnacentral:misc_RNA from 1 species
AAAGUCGUAACAAGGUAACCGUAGGUGAACCUGCGGUUGGAUCAUUAAAAAGUUAAGGCAGCUCGAGUCUCGGACUCCUGCUGGCCCAACAAACCCACAUUUAUGUGAACCGUUUUGUCUCUGGCGGCGGGAGAGUGGUAAUGCUACUUGCUAGUGUCAUCCUCUCUGUCAGCUCGGGCAACCGAGCCGUGGACAAACCGCCAACUGACUAUUUAACCCAACUAUUUAAAAAUUCAUGCCUAACAUAAAAUCUGUAUCUAAUAUACAAACAACUUUUGGCAACGGAUCUCUUGGCUCUC